rnacentral:rRNA from 1 species
UUAAGCGACUAAGCGUACACGGUGGAUGCCCUGGCAGUCAGAGGCGAUGAAGGACGUGCUAAUCUGCGAUAAGCGUCGGUGAGGUGAUAUGAACCGUUAUAACCGGCGAUUUCCGAAUGGGGAAACCCAGUGUGUUUCGACACACUAUCAUUAACUGAAUCCAUAGGUUAAUGAGGCGAACCGGGGGAACUGAAACAUCUAAGUACCCCGAGGAAAAGAAAUCAACCGAGAUUCCCCCAGUAGCGGCGAGCGAACGGGGAGGAGCCCAGAGCCUGAAUCAGUGUGUGUGUUAGUGGAAGCGUCUGGAAAGGCGUGCGAUACAGGGUGACAGCCCCGUACACAAAAAUGCACAUAUUGUGAGCUCGAUGAGUAGGGCGGGACACGUGGUAUCCUGUCUGAAUAGUGGGGGGACCAUCCUCCAAGGCUAAAUACUCCUGACUGACCGAUAGUGAACCAGUACCGUGAGGGAAAGGCGAAAAGAACCCCGGCGAGGGAGUGAAAAAGAACCUGAAACCGUGUACGUACAAGCAGUGGGAGCCUCUUAAUGGGGUGACUGCGUACCUUUUGUAUAAUGGGUCAGCGACUUAUAUUCUGUAGCAAGGUUAACCGAAUAGGGGAGCCGAAGGGAAACCGAGUCUUAACUGGGCGUUAAGUUGCAGGGUAUAGACCCGAAACCCGGUGAUCUAGCCAUGGGCAGGUUGAAGGUUGGGUAACACUAACUGGAGGACCGAACCGACUAAUGUUGAAGAAUUAGCGGAUGACUUGUGGCUGGGGGUGAAAGGCCAAUCAAACCGGGAGAUAGCUGGUUCUCCCCGAAAGCUAUUUAGGUAGCGCCUCGUGAAUUCAUCUCCGGGGGUAGAGCACUGUUUCGGCAAGGGGGUCAUCCCGACUUACCAACCCGAUGCAAACUGCGAAUACCGGAGAAUGUUAUCACGGGAGACACACGGCGGGUGCUAACGUCCGUCGUGAAGAGGGAAACAACCCAGACCGCCAGCUAAGGUCCCAAAGUCAUGGUUAAGUGGGAAACGAUGUGGGAAGGCCCAGACAGCCAGGAUGUUGGCUUAGAAGCAGCCAUCAUUUAAAGAAAGCGUAAUAGCUCACUGGUCGAGUCGGCCUGCGCGGAAGAUGUAACGGGGCUAAACCAUGCACCGAAGCUGCGGCAGCGACACUAUGUGUUGUUGGGUAGGGGAGCGUUCUGUAAGCCUGUGAAGGUGGCCUGUGAAGGGUUGCUGGAGGUAUCAGAAGUGCGAAUGCUGACAUAAGUAACGAUAAAGCGGGUGAAAAGCCCGCUCGCCGGAAGACCAAGGGUUCCUGUCCAACGUUAAUCGGGGCAGGGUGAGUCGACCCCUAAGGCGAGGCCGAAAGGCGUAGUCGAUGGGAAACAGGUUAAUAUUCCUGUACUUGGUGUUACUGCGAAGGGGGGACGGAGAAGGCUAUGUUGGCCGGGCGACGGUUGUCCCGGUUUAAGCGUGUAGGCUGGUUUUCCAGGCAAAUCCGGAAAACCAAGGCUGAGGCGUGAUGACGAGGCACUACGGUGCUGAAGUGACAAAUGCCCUGCUUCCAGGAAAAGCCUCUAAGCAUCAGGUAACAUCAAAUCGUACCCCAAACCGACACAGGUGGUCAGGUAGAGAAUACCAAGGCGCUUGAGAGAACUCGGGUGAAGGAACUAGGCAAAAUGGUGCCGUAACUUCGGGAGAAGGCACGCUGAUAUGUAGGUGAAGCGACUUGCUCGUGGAGCUGAAAUCAGUCGAAGAUACCAGCUGGCUGCAACUGUUUAUUAAAAACACAGCACUGUGCAAACACGAAAGUGGACGUAUACGGUGUGACGCCUGCCCGGUGCCGGAAGGUUAAUUGAUGGGGUUAGCGGCAACGCGAAGCUCUUGAUCGAAGCCCCGGUAAACGGCGGCCGUAACUAUAACGGUCCUAAGGUAGCGAAAUUCCUUGUCGGGUAAGUUCCGACCUGCACGAAUGGCGUAAUGAUGGCCAGGCUGUCUCCACCCGAGACUCAGUGAAAUUGAACUCGCUGUGAAGAUGCAGUGUACCCGCGGCAAGACGGAAAGACCCCGUGAACCUUUACUAUAGCUUGACACUGAACAUUGAGCCUUGAUGUGUAGGAUAGGUGGGAGGCUUUGAAGUGUGGACGCCAGUCUGCAUGGAGCCGGCCUUGAAAUACCACCCUUUAAUGUUUGAUGUUCUAACGUGGGCCCGUUAUCCGGGUUGCGGACAGUGUCUGGUGGGUAGUUUGACUGGGGCGGUCUCCUCCUAAAGAGUAACGGAGGAGCACGAAGGUUGGCUAAUCCUGGUCGGACAUCAGGAGGUUAGUGCAAUGGCAUAAGCCAGCUUGACUGCGAGCGUGACGGCGCGAGCAGGUGCGAAAGCAGGUCAUAGUGAUCCGGUGGUUCUGAAUGGAAGGGCCAUCGCUCAACGGAUAAAAGGUACUCCGGGGAUAACAGGCUGAUACCGCCCAAGAGUUCAUAUCGACGGCGGUGUUUGGCACCUCGAUGUCGGCUCAUCACAUCCUGGGGCUGAAGUAGGUCCCAAGGGUAUGGCUGUUCGCCAUUUAAAGUGGUACGCGAGCUGGGUUUAGAACGUCGUGAGACAGUUCGGUCCCUAUCUGCCGUGGGCGCUGGAGAACUGAGGGGGGCUGCUCCUAGUACGAGAGGACCGGAGUGGACGCAUCACUGGUGUUCGGGUUGUCAUGCCAAUGGCACUGCCCGGUAGCUAAAUGCGGAAGAGAUAAGUGCUGAAAGCAUCUAAGCACGAAACUUGCCCCGAGAUGAGUUCUCCCUGACCCUUUAAGGGUCCUGAAGGAACGUUGAAGACGACGACGUUGAUAGGCCGGGUGUGUAAGCGCAGCGAUGCGUUGAGCUAACCGGUACUAAUGAACCGUGAGGCUUAACCUU